GAUGAACGCUGGCGGCGUGCCUAAUACAUGCAAGUCGAGCGAACGGACGAGAAGCUUGCUUCUCUGAUGUUAGCGGCGGACGGGUGAGUAACACGUGGAUAACCUACCUAUAAGACUGGGAUAACUUCGGGAAACCGGAGCUAAUACCGGAUGAUAUUUUGAACCGCAUGGUUCAAAAGUGAAAGACGGUCUUGCUGUCACUUAUAGAUGGAUCCGCGCUGCAUUAGGUAGUUGGUAAGGUAACGGCUUACCAAGGCAACGAUGCAUAGCCGACCUGAGAGGGUGAUCGGCCACACUGGAACUGAGACACGGUCCAGACUCCUACGGGAGGCAGCAGUAGGGAAUCUUCCGCAAUGGGCGAAAGCCUGACGGAGCAACGCCGCGUGAGUGAUGAAGGUCUUCGGAUCGUAAAACUCUGUUAUUAGGGAAGAACAUAUGUGUAAGUAACUGUGCACAUCUUGACGGUACCUAAUCAGAAAGCCACGGCUAACUACGUG
rnacentral:rRNA from 1 species